GAAGACUUCACUGUAAAUUUUGUACCUCAGCUCUAAAGAUAGCAGUGUUCACCAUAUUGAAUGGUUUGUCUACAAAUGAAGGAAAUUAGGUAAAUUUUUCAUCUAUUAAAUAUCAUUGAAAGAAAAUAAAAAUAGUGAAACAUGGACUAAAGACAUUUAUGUACUAACUAAUUUAGGUCAUUUAUGUUUGUAAGCUGAACAAACUUGUAUGUAGCUAUAGAGGAUCAUGUGACCUCCAGAUGGAUGUAAAAAUUUUGAUAUUUGCUAGUGGUGAUAAUUUCAGCUAUGGUGAGGUUCCUUUUAAAUCAAGUAGGCUUAGU
rnacentral:lncRNA from 1 species